rnacentral:rRNA from 1 species
UACGAAGGGGGCUAGCGUUGCUCGGAAUCACUGGGCGUAAAGGGUGCGUAGGCGGGUCUUUAAGUCAGGGGUGAAAUCCUGGAGCUCAACUCCAGAACUGCCUUUGAUACUGAGGAUCUUGAGUCCGGGAGAGGUGAGUGGAACUGCGAGUGUAGAGGUGAAAUUCGUAGAUAUUCGCAAGAACACCAGUGGCGAAGGCGGCUCACUGGCCCGGUACUGACGCUGAUGCGCGAAAGCCAGGGGAGCGAACGGG